GGGGAGAUGAACGGAUGGUUCAAUGCUUUAUUUGGCAUCUUAAAUAAUCAUCUACACACUCUGUACCCUGAUCUCAAGAAAACUGAGUGGGGUCUACCAAAAUAUGAUACACAUGAGCUGCCAUCAUCUGUGACCCAUGACCCCAUCUAUGUUUCUCAGAUAAAACUGAAGAGUAAGGAGACUGAAAUAACUCACGAAGAUGACGACACAGAUGAAUAAAAACUCAGGCUUCAUCCUCGAUUCCAGCUUGAGCACUAACUGUCACAACAGACCAACCGCCUUGAAACAAGACUUAAUUUAAUGUAUAUUUGUUUUGUUGGUUUAUUUUUUUACAGUUGAAUAAUAUGCUGAAUUAAUUUCCAAAUAACCGUAAAGUUGAACAGGAUUCUUUAUAUGCUAAUCAUACAUUUUGUUUCACUUGGCUUGCACUAAAGCAAAGAAAAAUAAUUCAAGUUUUCACAAUAAGACCGCACUGGACACCUCUUGA